rnacentral:rRNA from 1 species
UGGGGAAUUGUUCGCAAUGGGCGCAAGCCUGACGACGCAACGCCGCGUGGGGGAUGAAGGUCUUCGGAUUGUAAACCCCUGUCGAGCGGGACGAACGGCUCACGACUGAAUAUGUCGUGGGAGUGACGGUACCGCUAAAGGAAGCCACGGCUAACUCUGUGCCAGCAGCCGCGGUAAUACAGAGGUGGCAAGCGUUGUUCGGAAUUACUGGGCGUAAAGGGCGCGUAGGCGGCCUUCUUAGUCAGACGUGAAAUCCCCCGGCUUAACCUGGGAACUGCGUCUGAUACUGGAAGGCUGGAGUUCGGGAGAGGGAUGUAGAAUUCCAGGUGUAGCGGUGAAAUGCGUAGAUAUCUGGAGGAAUACCGGUGGCGAAGGCGGCAUCCUGGACCGAAACUGACGCUGAUGCGCGAAAGCUAGGGGAGCAAACGGGAUUAGAUACCCCCGUAGUCC